AUGGGAUUUGUUCUCUUGUUGCUGGAAACUUCUCUGCCACCACCUAUACCCAGAUUAGCCUUGGACACAUGUGGCCCAAUGGAUAAAACCAGCAAUAUGAGUGAAGCCUCUUUCAAGCCUCAGAGAAACACCAUAGUAAGCUAAUGAAAAAGGAGGAGCACGAGCAGGAGGAGGGACAGAAGCAGAAGAACCAGAAACCAAAUUUCUGUAAAGUAUCCUGAGACUGAUGAUGUUCAAAGACUUUGACUUCUAAUUAAUUGUUUUCCAGAUUUCAGAGACAGCACUGGCAGAAACUAAGUGUAUACCACUUGAUCAAGCUUACUGCGGAUUUAUUCUCGGAUAGCUCAAAUAAGGUAGUGGGGCUUGGACAGAAAACCUCUUUUUAAUUAAAAAAAAGUUUCCAACAGUGAGUAACAUCUUCCUUCUCGGCUGACUUUGCCAGUGUCAGUCUCACGACUGGGCCCAAGCUAGGCCGGGGCUCACCACACCACCUUCCAAUGUGGC